AAAAGUUUCCAGGAGAGGCAGAGCCUGGUUUCCACUGUGGCUCUGAGCCCAGGGAACUCUCUUCUUUCACCCACAUCUCUGAGAGACUUCCGAAUGAUGCCUUCCAUGGCAGUGAGAGGGAAGCUGGCGUCCUGGAGAGCCGGGAGCGGGUGCUGCAAAGGGCCCUGAAUGUGUGGAAGAAACCCCACGCUUGCUGAGGUGUUUGCAGUAAUAUACCGGAGCCAAAACUAGGCAGCUCCCCAAGCACCCACUGAGCUCAGAUUUGUCGGUGAGUCCUACUGUGCGUUGGGCAUGCGGACCCAGGUUCCCAGGACGUAUGCACCUGUGGGACCCACACUCCCCAGGGAGCAGGCAUUGAACGCGGAGAGCUGUAGGAGCUGAGGAUAUGGACACAGAGCGAGAAGCCCUGCAGUGCACAGCCUACCCAGAGGUUCAGAGCUUCUGCCAGAAGCACGGCUUGGCGUUCGAGGCGGUUGAUCUGAGGUGGGGUAUCCCGAACACACAGGCCACUGACUACCUGACCACGGAACUCUGCUUAGAAGAACUGGAGCGCUGUCAGAAAACAUCAAUCGGCCCAGCUUUUGUGGUGAGUGUGCGGGGGUGGGUGGAGUUGUCCUUAUUCUUUUUUCCAUCACCAGAAUGUGGUCCCUGACAGCAAACCAAACAGAAGAGCUAACAUCCCAAUCCUCAAAGACUGGCCAUGAUAG